rnacentral:rRNA from 1 species
GACGAACGCUGGCGGCAUGCCUAAUACAUGCAAGUCGAACGCAGUGGGGACGGGUGAGUAACACGUGGGUAACCUCCCAUCAGAGGGGAUAACACUUGGAAACAGGUGCUAAACCGAUACUGAUGGAUGGACCCGCGGUGCAUUAGCUAGUUGGUUAGGUAACGGCUCACCAAGGCCACGAUGCAUCGCCGACCUGAGAGGGUGUUCGUCCACACUGGGUCUGAUACACGUCCCAGACUCCUACGGCACGCAGCAGUAGGGAAUCUUCUGCAAUUGUCGAAAGUCUGACCGAGCAACGCCGAGUGAGUGAAGAAGGUUUUCGGAUCGUAAAACUCUGUUGUUAGAGAAGCCGUAUCUAACCAGAGGGCCAGGGCGAACUACGUGCCAGCAGGCGCGGUAAUAC